rnacentral:rRNA from 1 species
GAUGAACGCUAGCGGCAGGCUUAAUACAUGCAAGUCGAGGGGCAGCAGGGGUAGCAAUACCCGCUGGCGACCGGCAAACGGGUGCGGAACACGUACAGAACCUUCCUUUAAGCGGGGGAUAGCCCACUAGAAAUGUGGAUUAAUACCCCACUAGUAAUAUUGUCUGGCAUCAGGUGGUAUUUAAAGUAUUUAUUCACUUAAAGAUGGCUGUGCGGCUGAUUAGGUAGUUGGUGUGGGUAACGGCCCACCAACGCCAGCGAUCAGUAACUGGUGUGAGAGCACGACCA